rnacentral:rRNA from 1 species
UACGUAGGGGGCAAGCGUUGUUCGGAAUUACUGGGCGUAAAGCGCGCGUAGGCGGUUUGAAAAGUCAGAUGUGAAAGCCCCGGGCUCAACUUGGGAACUGCAUUUGAUACUGUCAGACUAGAGUACAGAAGAGGUGACUGGAAUCCCAGUGUAGCGGUGAAAGUGCGUAGAUAUUGGAGGAACACCAAUGGCGAAGGCGAGCUCACUGGGACGGUAUUGACGCUGAGACGCGAAAGCGUGGGGAGCAAACAGGG